GCCCAGUGAAGGGUAACACACAUAGAGUUCAGUGACCCCCUUGUUCCUUGAGGAGAGAGGACCUAUUCCUAUCUAAGGACAUUCCCGGAAGGCAACGGGUUUCAAACAAUGUCCUGAAGAGACUCAUCUCAGGGAACCAAGCAGGUGGUAAUCAGAGAACACAGAGCCCCCAGAAUUAUUUUAUGGGAUUUCAAGCAGGCCACAGGCCAGCCUGGAGAAAAAGCAGGAAGAAGAACUGGCAAUACGAGGGCCUGACCCGAAAGUUAUUUCUGAAGAGAAACAACGGAAAGGAUGCCUGAAUUCUUGACAGGGCCAG
rnacentral:lncRNA from 1 species